GUGCACGCUGGCGGUAGGCCUAACCCAUGCAAGUCGAACGGCAGCACCGUAAGAGCUUGCUCUUACGGGUGGCGAGUGGCGGACGGGUGAGGAAUACAUCGGAAUCUACUUUUUCGUGGGGGAUAACGUAGGGAAACUUACGCUAAUACCGCAUACGACCUACGGGUGAAAGCAGGGGAUCUUCGGACCUUGCGCGAUUGCAUGAGCCGAUGUCGGAUUAGCUAGUUGGCGGGGUAAAGGCCCACCAAGGCGACGAUCCGUAGCUGGUCUGAGAGGAUGAUCAGCCACACUGGAACUGAGACACGGUCCAGACUCCUACGGGAGGCAGCAGUGGGGAAUAUUGGACAAUGGGCGCAAGCCUGAUCCAGCCAUACCGCGUGGGUGAAGAAGGCCUUCGGGUUGUAAAGCCCUUUUGUUGGGAAAGAAAAGCAGCAGGUUAAUACCCCGCUGUUCUGACGGUACCCAAAGAAUAAGCACCGGCUAACUUCGUG
rnacentral:rRNA from 1 species